rnacentral:rRNA from 1 species
AGAGACAGCAGCCGCGCGGGAAUACAGAGGGUGCGAGCGUUAAUCGGAUUUACUGGGCGUAAAGCGUGCGUAGGCGGCUUUUUAAGUCGGAUGUGAAAUCCCUGAGCUUAACUUAGGAAUUGCAUUCGAUACUGGGAAACUAGAGUAUGGGAGAGGAUGGUAGAAUUCCAGGUGUAGCGGUGAAAUGCGUAGAGAUCUGGAGGAAUACCGAUGGCGAAGGCAGCCAUCUGGCCUAAUACUGACGCUGAGGUACGAAAGCAUGGGGAGCAAACAGGAUUAGAUACCCCUGUAGUCCCUGUCUCUUAUACA